UCCUUUAAUUCUGGGAACAAACUGUGACUGACAUCUCCAGCUCCCAGUAGCAGCCCGUUCUCACACACAUACAGCCAAUCAGCGAUCACCGCUGGGAGAGGGAUACCCUCAUUGGCUGAGGGGUGUCAGUGGGCGGGACGCUGUUUGGACCGGGACCGAGUGGGCCGGAGACCGGGAGCUGCGCCUCGGGUUUCGGCUGCACCACCGGCGGGUCGUGAAUCCUUUCGAAGGCAGAGCUGAAGCGACCGGCGGAGAUUCCGUGAGAUGUUUCAGCUGCACGGAGGGCGCCCGGCCUUUCCCCGCCGAGGAUCGGGGCCUGUUGUCUGGAGUUGUCUCCCAGACCCGUCCCUUCCUGCUGGGAGACGGGAGCUGCCCCGCAGCGGCUGCCGGUGGAUCUCCGGAGCUCUCACCGCUCCCCUGUGCAAUCCGAACGGCUGAAAACCAAGGGAGAACAAGGCGCAAAGGGGCAAGACCAGAACAUGUGGGUCAAUAAAGCGACUUCAGAAUGACAUCUGUGACAGGCUGGAUUAACAUAAGAAUAAAAUCGAGCGAGUUUAUCCUUGGACAUGUGAGCCCUAUGAACAACCUGAAAUUGUAUUAGGCAUGUUUAGCACAAAUAAAAGAAGAAUUGAUUAAUUGUAAAA